AGUAGAGAAUUAAGGUGCAGUCUCAGGGAAAUGACAGAGAAAUUCCUCUCCUACAUAUGAGAAGGUGUGGAACACCAGUGAGGAUGUGGGUUAAUUCUGGCCAUGUUGUCUAAGGAGUGUUCCCACAUUCAAAAACAAUCAGAUGUCUGUCGUGAAGACAACAACCUGAUCAAAUCAUCUACAGAAAUGUGUGAAGCUGAAGUACAUCAGGACACUAAUUGCUUUUUUGAUGGAAGAAAAAAUGUACUCGACUACAAAAAAGAUGGGCAUCAUGAUCUACACUUUUGCAAUAGUGAAAAAUGAGGACGAAAUUGAUUAGAAUUGGGAAUUGGAGACAAAAAUGCACUUGGCUUGGUAUACGCAACGGACUUUCUAAAGCUUUAUGCUAAUCAGAAUUUUUACAUGGAACUGGCUUUCUGAAGAAAAUCAAAA
rnacentral:lncRNA from 1 species